rnacentral:rRNA from 1 species
GACGAACGCUGGCGGCGUGCUUAACACAUGCAAGUCGAACGGAAAGGCCCUGCUUUUGUGGGGUGCUCGAGUGGCGAACGGGUGAGUAACACGUGAGUAACCUGCCCUUGACUUUGGGAUAACUUCAGGAAACUGGGGCUAAUACCGGAUAGGAGCUCCUGCUGCAUGGUGGGGGUUGGAAAGUUUCGGCGGUUGGGGAUGGACUCGCGGCUUAUCAGCUUGUUGGUGGGGUAGUGGCUUACCAAGGCUUUGACGGGUAGCCGGCCUGAGGGGGUGACCGGCCACAUUGGGACUGAGAUACGGCCCAGACUCCUACGGGAGGCAGCAGUGGGGAAUAUUGCACAAUGGGCGGAAGCCUGAUGCAGCAACGCCGCGUGCGGGAUGACGGCCUUCGGGUUGUAAACCGCUUUCGCCUGUGACGAAGCGUGAGUGAAGGUAAUGGGUAAAGAAGCACCGGCUAACUACGUG